UACGUAGGGGGCAAGCGUUGUCCGGAAUCAUUGGGCGUAAAGAGCGUGUAGGCGGCCCGAUAAGUCCGCUGUGAAAGUCCAGGGCUCAACCCUGGAAUGCCGGUGGAUACUGUCGGGCUCGAAUCCGGAAGAGGUGAGUGGAAUUCCUGGUGUAGCGGUGAAAUGCGCAGAUAUCAGGAGGAACACCGAUGGCGAAGGCAGCACUCUGGGACGGUACUGACGCUGAGACGCGAAAGCGUGGGGAGCAAACAGG
rnacentral:rRNA from 1 species